GGCGCGGGCUGGGCCCCGGGCGGCUGCCAGGACAACCAGGGAUUUGCGGCCGGGCCGUACCACUGGCAGCGCGGCAGGGGCGGCCGGCCAGGCCCCGCUGGGCGCAGGCCUAUGGAGGGCGGAACCCUGGAGCCCCCAGGGGAGGGCACGGCGCAGCCUCCUGCCCCCAACAGGAUUCCUCACAUCCCAGGACCAGCUGGAAAAGGUGGUGAGAGUUGGAAAGAGACUGCUCAGUGAGGACUGCCCUGCGAACCAGCUUGGAUUCAUCCCGUUCACCUCCACGUUCUGCACUCGGGGCCGAGGGAAGGGAGGCAGCCCAGGCAGCUAGAGAACUUGAUGAAACACACUCAAUCUGAAUCUCGCUUGAUCGUCAUGCUGACCCAGUGAGUCUACUCAGGGUCAGGCAUCCUUUCCGACUACUCACUCAGCAGCGGAUCCCCACCCGCCUCUGACUCCCAGUGUCUUUCGGCUCCAACGUAAGUUCACCGAACGUCUAAGAGCUGAGGAUUCAAAGGCAUGUAAGACCGCCCCUGCCCUCAGCUGCAAGACCUGUCCGCGAUCCUACGAGCCCCAUUCCGCCCUCUUUCCCCGACCUUGGUCCCCCAUGGGCCCUACAACCAGGUCCCCGACUGACACCUUGACCAGCGAACACAGCAAACAGGCCCGCAGAUGCCGCAGGUCCUUCGGCACCGUCUCCAGGGCCAUCUUCGCCGAUGGGAAGAACAACAGGGAGAUAGACGACCACAGCCUGUGCACCCGCAGGAAGUAAAUAGCUCGUUACCCAGAAUGCCCACCACUUCCGGCGCUUAGACUUCCUCUUCCGGUGUGGGCGGACGCCAGCUCCGCCCCUACCCCCGCCAGAGGAGAUGGUUUCUCCCGCCAGCAGGCGGGGAGGCUGGGCGGCCGGCCGCCACCUGGGCCGGAGCGCGUCGCAGCCACCUGAGCCCGCCGAGGGCGCGGCGGAGGCUGUGUGGGGUAGUCAGCGGGCCCCCGGGGCGGGGGGGCGGCUGCGCUUGCGCGGGAGUGUGUCGGGCUGAGCCGCAGCGCCGAGACGCGGGCUGUUUGAUCUGGGCUGGUGGCCCUGGGCGUCGGUCCUGUUCCCCGAUGGUAACCCGAAGUUUGUUUUUUUUUGUUUUGUCUCCCCGUUUUAGAAGCAUUGGGGGCAGUGAAUCCACUGUCUCCCUCUGGAUUGUCUCUGCAGAGACCGAGAAGAAAUCCAGGGACAGCCCCACCCCUCCUUCCUAACUGCGAGAGCGCUAUAGGGUUUCCACUUGCUUCCCACAGGAAUGCUGGCCUGGGAGCUACGGCGGAAAAAAAUGCGUAUUUAUCUUUUAAAACUCCGUCUGUUUGCUCGUUCCGGCUGAUAAUUUAUACUUUGCGCAGUUCUUAGCGCUUAGACACGGUUCCUUUACUAAAGACCAUUUGUAGGAGAUUAGGUGUCCUUUUUUUCCCUUUCAUUUCACCGUCUAGGAAGCGAAAUGCCUUGUUCUAUAGGCACUAAACCACCACCCCUACCAAACCUUUCUCGGGGAAGCAGAAGGGGAACUUGUGCCUUGUGAGGAAGCGACAAAGGCCCCUUCUGGCCCUGGAGACUUCACGCCAAUGGAGCACCAGCUCUCUGUCCUCGCAAUAGCCCGAGUGCAGGCAGAACGCAGUCAUUUGUGUUUAUCUGAGAGGAGCUUUGGGAUAUAAAUAGUUUCAGGCCCCGCUGCGCUGUCAUUCCAGCCCAGCCUCCUGAUUGAGCUGCUUCCGGGCGGGCUUUCUUCUUGUUGGCGGUCCCAUGCUGUGUUCAGAUGGGCUCUGUGACAGGUUUGGAUGUUUUCUAUCACUGAAUAAAACUUUCCACUUUGGAACAUAUUUUCUACACUCUAUUAUCUCAUGUAAGUCCUGCAACAACUAUUAAGUAGGCCCAUUUUAUGGACUGAAAAAGCGAGGCACAGAGUAUUUGCCCAAGGUCUGAGUCACUGAAGUAUGAUAAUGUGUGAAGUGAACAGUAUAAUAAUAAUGACUGAAGCACAGUAAGAAUCCAGUCAUGCUUUCUCCUUCCCUGAUCUCACUAAGCCACACUUUUAGGGGCUUACAAACCAGUUCUUAUUGCCAAGCCCUCUACUCUACCCUAUCCUUUCAUGAAUCGGAGCCUAGCCUCUGAUAACAUAAAUAAUUUACUUCUCUUGAUGUAGAAAGAGAUGACGUUGUUACCCUGAGUGACAGUCACGACAGAACAAAACCACAAGACC
ensembl:lncRNA TSPOAP1-AS1 TSPOAP1, SUPT4H1 and RNF43 antisense RNA 1